rnacentral:rRNA from 1 species
UGAGGAACAUGACCUUCGGCGGGGGAUAGCCGGCCCAACGGCCGGGUAAUACCGCGUACGACCACUUGGGGACAUCCCUAGGUGGUGAAAGCAGCAAUGCGCCGAUGGAGUGCCUCGCGGCCUAUCAGCUAGUUGGUGAGGUAACGGCUCACCAAGGCGACGACGGGUAGCUGGUCUGAGAGGAUGGCCAGCCACAGUUGGGACUGAGACACGGCCCAGACCUCCGUACGGGGAGGCCCGCG